rnacentral:rRNA from 1 species
GACGAACGCUGGCGGCGUGCUUAACACAUGCAAGUCGAACGCUGAAGCUCAGCUUUUGUUGGGUGGAUGAGUGGCGAACGGGUGAGUAACACGUGAGUAACCUGCCCCCUUCUUUGGGAUAACGCCCGGAAACGGGUGCUAAUACUGGAUAUUCACUGGUCUUCGCAUGGGGGUUGGUGGAAAGGGUUUUUCUGGUGGGGGAUGGGCUCGCGGCCUAUCAGCUUGUUGGUGGGGUGAUGACCUACCAAGGCUUUGACGGUUAGCCGGCCUGAGAGGGUGACCGGUCACAUUGGGACUGAGAUACGGCCCAGACUCCUACGGGAGGCAGCAGUGGGGAAUAUUGCACAAUGGGCGCAAGCCUGAUGCAGCGACGCCGCGUGAGGGAUGGAGGCCUUCGGGUUGUGAACCUCUUUCGCUCAUGGUCAAGCCGCAACAAUGGUUGUGGUGAGGGUAGUGGGUAAAGAAGCGCCGGCUAACUACGUG